GACUCUCGGCAACAGAUAUCUUGACUCUUGCAUCGAUGAUGAAUGCAGAAAAAUGUGAUACUUCAUGUGAAUUGCAGAAUCUUGUGAAUCAUCGAGUCUUUGAACACAAGUUGCACCCGAAGCUAAUAUGCUGAGGGUACGUCUGCCUAGGUGUCA